rnacentral:rRNA from 1 species
AUUGAACGCUGGCGGCAGGCUUAACACAUGCAAGUCGAGCGGGGUGAUGGUGCUUGCACUAUCACUUAGCGGCGGACGGGUGAGUAAUGCUUAGGAAUCUGCCUAUUAGUGGGGGACAACAUCUCGAAAGGGAUGCUAAUACCGCAUACGUCCUACGGGAGAAAGCAGGGGAUCACUUGUGACCUUGCGCUAAUAGAUGAGCCUAAGUCGGAUUAGCUAGUUGGUGGGGUAAAGGCCUACCAAGGCGACGAUCUGUAGCGGGUCUGAGAGGAUGAUCCGACACAGUGGGAACGAGACACGGCCCAGAAUCCUACGGGAGGCAGCAGUGGGGAAUAUUGGACAAUGGGGGGAACCCUGAUCCAGCCAUGCCGCGUGUGUGAAGAAGGCCUUAUGGUUGUAAAGCACUUUAAGCGAGGAGGAGGCUCUUUUGGUUAAUACCCAAGAUGAGUGGACGUUACUCGCAGAAUAAGCACCGGCUAACUCUGUGCCAGCAGCCGCCGUAA